rnacentral:rRNA from 1 species
ACGCUGGCGGUGUGCUUAACACAUGCAAGUGGGUGCGACGAACCAGAGCUUGCUCUGGGGCAAAGCCGCGAACGGGUGAGUAACACGUGGGUAAUCUACCCCGAUGACCGGGACAACCCGAGGAAACUCGGGCUAAUACCGGAUGUGGUACGGAGACAUAAGUCUCUUUACUAAAGGUAGCUUCGGCUUCCGCAUUGGGAGGGGCCCGCGGCCCAUUAGCUAGUUGGCGGGGUCAAGGCCUACCAAGGCAACGAUGGGUAGCUGGUCUGAGAGGACGAUCAGCCACACUGGGACUGAGACACGGCCCAGACUCCUACGGGAGGCAGCAGUGGGGAAUCUUGCGCAAUGCGCGAAAGCGUGACGCAGCAACACCGCGUGAGGGAAGACGGCCUUAGGGUUGUAAACCUCUUUCAGAUGGGACGAAGGUGAUGCGGUGAAUAGCCGAUGUCAUUGACGGUACCGUCAGAAGAAGCUCCGGCUAACUACGUG